rfam:Ixodes scapularis strain Wikel colony gcontig_1108378303256, whole genome shotgun sequence.
CCCUGGUUAGCUCAGUUGAUAGAGCGCUCCACUUGUAAUGGAGAGGUCCCGGGUUCGAUACCCGGACCAGGCG